rnacentral:lncRNA from 1 species
AUGCACCUUUCUUCUUACUACAACCUCUCUAAUGAGGUCAGGUGUAGAACUGUCCACUUGUGGUAUCAUUAUGAUGUCACUCUCAAAAAGUUUCAAAGUUUGGAGAAUGGUAUGGUUUGGAAUGUUGGGUUAGAGAUGUACAACCUAUACUUGAUGAUGCUACCAAGUUCUCCAUCAGUUUGGCUGAAAACACUCUCUGUUGCCUGACAUUCCUGGUUUGCCGGAGUCUGCCAGCUGUUCUCAGCCUCUCCAGGGCGUCUCCUUUUGAAAUGGAAGCGUGCACGUGAUGCCCUGUUGCAAAGGUCUUGGAUGGCUUCCCAAGAAGUAUGGCCAGCCACUCAGCACAGCUGCCAGGUUCCUGACAUGUAGCUUAGACCCUCUGAGGUAGGCAGAGUGAUAGUCCCCAAAGACCUUAGCUCCUAAUCCCUAGAACCUUACUGGGACAAAAGGGAUUUCUGUAGAUGUGAUUAAACUAAGGAUUUUUAAAAAGUUAGUGUGUGCUUGCAAUGUAGAAUAGUGAUGUUCAUUUGGGGGAACUGGUGUAGGCAUAUAACAAAUCAAUCAUUUUUUUAUCUUUUACCCCCUCUCUCCUUCCUUCCUUCUGGCCUGAUUCUCCUCCCCCAUCUCUAAAAGUCUGCCUUCUUAUUUCCUACCAUCUCUCUUUUGUUUGUUUAUACUUUAGGUUUCUCAUAUAAAAGAAAACAUGCAAUAUUUAACUUCCCAUGUCUGCCUCUUUCAUUUGCAUUAGGGCCUCAAGUUCCUUGCAUUUUCCUGCAAAUGAUGAUUUCAUUCUUCUUUAUGGCUGAAUAAUAUUCCACUGUUUAUUUGUACCACACUUUCUUUAUCCAUUAAUUUGCUGAGUUUCAAGGCUGUUUCCAGAGCUCAAGUAUCAUGAAUGGUACCAUUACAAACAUGGGUGUAAAUAUAUCACUCUAGUAUGAUAUCUUUAACUUUUGGGGGAAUAUACCCAGAAAAAGUGUAUCUGAGUCAAAUGGAAUUUCUGCUUUUGAUCUCUUGAGGACUCUCCAUACUGAAUUCCAUGGUAGUACUAGUUUUCAUUUCCACCAACAGUAUAGUAGGGCUCCUU